rnacentral:rRNA from 1 species
AAUCCAUAGGUUAAUGAGGCGAACCGGGGGAACUGAAACAUCUAAGUACCCCGAGGAAAAGAAAUCAACCGAGAUUCCCCCAGUAGCGGCGAGCGAACGGGGAGGAGCCCAGAGCCUGAAUCAGCAUGUGUGUUAGUGGAAGCGUCUGGAAAGGCGCGCGAUACAGGGUGACAGCCCCGUACACAAAAGCGCAUGUGCUGUGAGCUCGAUGAGUAGGGCGGGACACGUGGUAUCCUGUCUGAAUAUGGGGGGACCAUCCUCCAAGGCUAAAUACUCCUGACUGACCGAUAGUGAACCAGUACCGUGAGGGAAAGGCGAAAAGAACCCCGGCGAGGGGAGUGAAAAAGAACCUGAAACCGUGUACGUACAAGCAGUGGGAGCACCCUUUGGGGUGUGACUGCGUACCUUUUGUAUAAUGGGUCAGCGACUUAUAUUCUGUAGCAAGGUUAACCGUAUAGGGGAGCCGGAGGGAAACCGAGUCUUAAUUGGGCGUUAAGUUGCAGGGUAUAGACCC